CCUACGGGAGGCAGCAGUGGGGAAUAUUUCACAAUGGGGGAAACCCUGAUGCAGCGACGCCGCGUGAGGGAAGAAGUAUUUCGGUACGUAAAGCUCUAGCAGCAGGGAAGAAAAUGACGGUACCUGACUAAGAAGCCCCGGCUAACUACGUGCCAGAAGCCGCGGUAAUACGUAGGGGGCAAGCGUUAUCCGGAUUUACUGGGGUUAAAGGGAGCGUAGACGGCAGCGUAAGUCUGGAGUGAAAUCCCAUGGCUUAACCAUGGAACUGCUUUGGAAACUGUGCAGCUGGAGUGAAGGAGAGGUAAGCGGAAUUCCUGGUGUAGCAGUGAAAUGCGUAGAUAUUAGGAGGAACACCAGUGGCGAAGGCGGCCUGCUGGACGGUGACUGACGCUGAGGCACGAAAGCGUGGGGAGCAAACAGGAUUAGAUACCCCUGUAGUC
rnacentral:rRNA from 1 species